CAGAGAAUUCAACUCUCGAUCCCGAUGACUUCAGAGGAGGUAGGGUUCAAUGGCAUCAGCAGCAUUUGUUACCCAUCCUUUAAGUGUCGAGGAAACUGAAUGGCUCGCUGUUUGUUUCAAAUUCCUUCAGCUGCUUCAUUGCCAGAACUGACUGAGGCAUUAAGAGGGACGCUUAAGCUGAAGUUGAGAAGACUGAUGGAAGUUUAUUUCUCUCAUGGUGUAUUUGCUUCUGUCAUCUCAUGGAACUCACUUUAAAUCCAACACAUUAAUACAGACAUGAUGGGCCAAGUGACCUCGUUCUGAAAUGUAGCAACUCUCACUGAGAUUAUAAUAUUUUUACAAUGUAGAAUAUUGUGAUAAUUAGCUGUCGCCAGUUGCUGGGCACUGUGCCUCAGUUAUUUGAAAGUCAUGGACUCAAAACUUGUUUCGUUACAAAAUCCAAGCCAACACUUCAGUACUGUCCUGCCAAAGGCAUUGGCACUCAUAUGCAAUAUUAAACUGAGUCCUCGAUAUGCCCUCUCAAAUGGGCAUAAAUGACCCCAUGGUACAAGUAUGAAGAGCAGAAGGGGAAUUCAUCCUGAUCAAUAUUUA